ACGGAGCGCCGGACACGGACUAUUUCGGUAGGAAGCGUGCGGAGGCUUAGUGGCGGACGGGUGAGUAACGCGUGGAUAACCUGCCGCAUACCGGGGGAUAACAGCUGGAAACAGCUGCUAAUACCGCAUAUGCCCGCAGUGCCGCAUGGCACAGCGGGGAAAACUCCGGUGGUAUGCGAUGGGUCCGCGUCUGAUUAGGCAGUUGGCGGGGUAACGGCCCACCAAACCGACGAUCAGUAGCCGGCCUGAGAGGGCGGACGGCCACACUGGGACUGAGACACGGCCCAGACUCCUGCGGGAGGCAGCAGUGGGGAAUAUUGCACAAUGGGGGAAACCCUGAUGCAGCGACGCCGCGUGAAGGAAGAAGUAUCUCGGUAUGUAAACUUCUAUCAGCAGGGAAGAAAACAGACGGUACCUGACUAAGAAGCCCCGGCUAACUACGUGCCAGCAGCCGCGGUAAUACGUAGGGGGCAAGCGUUAUCCGGAUUUACUGGGUGUAAAGGGGGUGCAGACGGCCAUGGCAAGCCCGGUGUGAAAGGCAGGGGCAUAACCCCUGGACUGCACUGGGAACUGUCAGGCUGGAGUGCCGGAGGGGUAACCGGAAUUCC
rnacentral:rRNA from 1 species